CUUGCACUGGUAGCAGGAGUGCUGGGUAACACAUCAGGAGAUGCUAGGAGACAGCGAGGCCUGGAGGUAGAGCAGCAGAGAAGCAUAGCACCAAGUAGCAAGUGGGGGAUGAUGCAAGUGUUAGGGCAACUACAUAGGUGUCUGGACAAUAUUAUCCCCUUUGAAUGUAACUUUGAUAGCAACAUAGCUAGUGACCCCAUUCAGCCUCCUCAAUGCACCUACCAUCUCACAUCACAGCAGCCCACAGAGGCUGUGAGAGCCUCUCUCUGAGGGCGGGACCCAGCACAGAGCCAGCCCCCUAAGCUACUUUAAAAAGGGUAUCUCCUGCAGGAGCAGCUCUUAGACCCCUGCUCAUCACAUGCAGCCCAGGAUCCAGAAGAUCUUCCUGACACAGAGCAAUCCAUUACCUCCACACCUAACCUAAGCAUCCUCCUGGGCUCUCCUCAGGCGGGCACUCCAGCUGGAGGAAAAGUGUGUCUAGGAGCCUCUGGACUGAAUGGAGCAUAUUCCCCAGCCCCUGGCUCCAUGCUGCUGCAGCCUGGACCACACGCUGUGUCUGCCUCCUGCCGUGUAGUACUUGAAGUAUACUGCAUGAAUGAUACUA